GUUUCUACGGCUCCCACGCUGGGCCAAACGCCGCCGGGCGCCGGGCGCGGGAGCCCCUGGCCCUUCGGGGCAGCCCCGAGCGGGGACGCUUGAGGGUCCGGGCCGCGCCGUCGGCACCAUUCCUGUGGUGGCUGCCACUCAGGGACUGAUUCGCCCUGGAUAAAGCAGCCACAGAAGUGCAGGCAGGAAUGGGCAUCCCAGAUAAGAGCCAGACGGCCCACGCCUCCCCCGGCGCUCGGCCUCGGACCCCGGGGCCCGGGCGCUCAUGACGCCUAUGCUGACCGCCACCCGGACGCCGCCGCUGCGAGCCUGCGCUGCCGCCCGGCCCGAUGCCGGUCAUGCCGAUCCCCCGGCGGGUGCGCUCCUUCCACGGCCCGCACACCACCUGCCUGCACGCGGCCUGCGGGCCCGCGCGCGCCUCGCGCCUGGCCCGCACCAAGUACAACAACUUCGACGUCUACGUGCGGGCGCGCUGGCUCUACGGCUUCAUCCGCUUCCUGCUCUACUUCAGCUGCAGCCUCUUCACCGCCGCGCUGUGGGGCGCGCUGGCCGCCCUCUUCUGCCUGCAGUACCUGGGCGUGCGCGUCCUGCUGCGCUUCCAGCUCAAGCUGUCGCUGCUGCUGCUGCUGCUGGGCCGCCGGCGCGUGGACUUCCGCCUCCUGAACGAGCUGCUCAUCUACGGCAUCCACGUGACCAUGCUGCUGGUGGGCGGCCUGGGCUGGUGUUUCAUGGUCUUCGUGGACAUGUGAGGGCCCGGCCACCUCGCCCUGGGGGGGCUCUGCUGGAAGCCCCGGGUGCAUGCACCUGCUGCAGGUUCUUUUCUUGAGACCUGGGAGGCCGGGCCCGGUCCGCCCUUGCCCACAGACACCACCUGGGUGCCUGACCUGGGAGAGGAGAGGGCUGAGGCUUUCUGUGAAGGGACCUUGGCACCUGCCCUCCUUUCUGUGCGUGCUUUCGGGGCAGGACCUCCGGCCACCUGCUUGUGGUUCCAGGCUGCACUUUGCCGAGCUGUGCCAGGGUGGGAGCUGGGGGGGGGGUCCGGUCUGCACUUGGGGAGCCUGUGUCCCUGUCCCCAAUCCAGGACACUGGCAUCGCCUCUGGAGUUCCCUGGGAGAGGGGCUGCCCAGGCGCACUUCUCGGGAGGGGUGUGACUGCUCCCGGCCCAGCCUUAGGGAAGCGUCAGGCUCCACCAGCAGACGCACCGCACUGCCACCAAGCUCUUCACUCUGCCCCGGGCCACCCGAGCCCUGGCCUAGCCCGCAGGCCCUCCGCCAUCUGUCACUCUGUGAGGCGCUGGUCCUGAGUCCCAGGCUGGGCUUCAGGGUCACCUCGGUUUGCCUGGCAGGUUCCCAGAUCAGGGUCAACCCAGAGGAGUGUGGGGCCCAGGGUCCACCUGUCUCCCUCCUGGGUGGCGGGUCCCAGGGCCCACCUGUCGCCCUCCUGGAUGGGCCUGUUGAGAGUGCCAGCCAGGUGCUGUCAUCUCGUCAAGCGUCCGUUUCUGGGGAGGCGGCUCUGUCUUUUUCUGGCUUUGGGGGGCUUUCCAUCCCAUCCCCUGAGGGAGUGUCCAGGAUGGAGACGUGCUUGUCGGAAGCAGAUGUCAGAGGUGGCCCGAGGGCACCAGGCUGGACCUCCCAGCGAGGGGCUCGGCCGCCCUUGUUCCUGCCUCGGCAGCUGUUAGAAUGGAAUGAGGGCGUUCCUGCGGAGGCUCAGUGGUUAACAAACCCCACUAGUGUCCAUGAGGACACAGGUUCAAUCCCUGGCCUCGCUCAGUGGGUUAGGGAUCUGGUGUUGGCCAUGAGCAGUGGUGCAGGUUGCAGAGGAGGCUUGGAUCCUGCGUUGCUGUGGCUGGGGUGGGUGUAGGCCAGCUCCAGUUCUACCCCUAGCCUGGGAACUUCCAUAUGCUGCACGUGCGGCCCUAAAAAAGCAAAAAAAAGCAAGUUGAACGUGGGCCGGAAAAGAGCAAGUGGCCCAGAGGGCUUCUGCUUGUGGAGAGAACACGCCGGAGGCUGGUGCUUGCCCAGACCCUCCCCCUGGCCUCUGCCCAGUGGGGCGUCGCGGGCAAGUGAGAGGGACUGAGUAACUACGCUGGGGCACCAGCCAGAGGCAGGACUCAGGGCCCCAAAUUGAGGGUGACACCUCAAAUUGUCCCCACAACCCCUGGGCACGGGCGGUGGCCCCGGCAGCCCUGCCUGGCCUGCCAGCCCAGCGGCCAGGGGCAGCUGGCAGGACCAUUAUGUGCCCCCCGCGAGGCAAACCCGAAUCAGGUAGAGAGCAGAAAAGUACUCGGCUGUGCGCCAAGCCCUUGACUCCGUAGCCAGCUUCGGGCUGACGCGGCCACGCGCGGUCCGGGCAGCUCCUGCAGGCAGAGGGAGCGAGUCCGCCUGACCUGCGUGGGUGGCGGGCCAGGAGCCGGCCCGCGCGGACCCUCUUCUCAGGGCUGCAGAGAGUCAUUUGCACUGGAUCACGCUGUUCCCGUAAAGCUUCGUCUUGUGUUCACUGGCAGCCGUUACCCGGGCCCGCGGAGGCUGCCCGCGGGGGCGUGGGCGCAGGGCUGGGCGUCGGGCCUCGGCGGCGCAGAUGCAGAGCUGCUCCCUGCCGCGAGUGCCUGUGAAGUCCUUUAUGGAAUGAGCCACCUGCAUUAAACUUAUUUUUUUA
rnacentral:lncRNA from 1 species